rnacentral:rRNA from 1 species
AAUAUUGCACAAUGGGGUAAACCCUGAUGCAGCGACGCCGCGUGAGUGAAGAAGUAUUUCGUGAUGUAAAGCUCUAUCAGCAGGGAAGAAAAUGACGGUCCCUGACUAAGAAGCCCCGGCUAACUACGUGCCAGCAGCCGCGGUAAUACGUAGGGGGCAAGCGUUAUCCGGAUUUACUGGGUGUAAAGGUAGCGUAGGUGGUUCGGCAAGUCAGAUGUGAAUGCACGGGGAUAAACCACGGGACUGCAUUUGAAACUGUCGUACUAGAGUGCAGGAGAGGUAAGUGGAAUUCCUAGUGUAGCGGUGAAAUGAGUAGAUAUUAGGAGGAACACCAGUGGCGACGGCGGCGACCUGGACGGUAACUGACGCUGAGGCACGAAAGCUGGGGGAGCAAACAGG